rnacentral:rRNA from 1 species
ACGGGUGAGUAAUAUAUCGGAACGUGCCCAAUCGUGGGGGAUAACGUAGAGAAAUUUACGCUAAUACCGCAUACGAUCUAAGGAUGAAAGCGGGGGAUCGCAAGACCUCGCGCGAUUGGAGCGGCUGAUAUCAGAUUAGGUUGUUGGUGAGGUAAAAGCUCACCAAGCCGACGAUCUGUAGCUGGUUUGAGAGAACGACCAGCCACACUGGGACUGAGACACGGCCCAGACUCCUACGGGAGGCAGCAGUGGGGAAUUUUGGACAAUGGGCGAAAGCCUGAUCCAGCAAUGCCGCGUGCAGGAAGAAGGCCUUCGGGUUGUAAACUGCUUUUGUACGGAACGAAACGGCUCUUUCUAAUAAAGAGGGCUAAUGACGGUACCGUAAGAAUAAGCACCGGCUAACUACGUGCCAGCAGCCGCGGUAAUACGUAGGGUGCGAGCGUUAAUCGGAAUUACUGGGCGUAAAGCGUGCGCAGGCGGUUAUGUAAGACAGUUGUGAAAUCCCCGGGCUCAACCUGGGAAUUGCAUCUGUGACUGCAUAGCUAGAGUACGGUAGAGGGGGAUGGAAUUCCGCGUGUAGCAG